AAAGAAACCAACAGGGAUUGCCUCAGUAACGGCGAGUGAAGCGGCAAGAGCUCAAAUUUGAAAUCCGGCCCCCCUCCCCCGCGGGGCCCGAGUUGUAAUUUGGAGAAGAGGCUUCGGGCGCGCCCCCCGUCUAAGUUCCCUGGAACGGGACGUCGGAGAGGGUGAGAAUCCCGUAUGUGACGGGGCGGCGUCGCCCGUGUGAAGCUCUUUCGACGAGUCGAGUUGUUUGGGAAUGCAGCUCAAAACGGGUGGUAAAUUUCAUCUAAAGCUAAAUACGGGCCAGAGACCGAUAGCGCACAAGUAGAGUGAUCGAAAGAUGAAAAGCACUUUGGAAAGAGAGUUAAACAGUACGUGAAAUUGUUGAAAGGGAAGCGCUGGCGACCAGACGUGCGCGUCGGCGAUCAUCCGGGGCUCGCCCCCGGUGCACUCGGCGGCGCGCAGGCCCGCAUCGGUUUGGGGGGCGGGACAAAGGCCCCUGGAAUGUAGCUCCCCCGGGAGUGUUAUAGCCAGGGGCGGCAUGCCGCCCCCCCAGACCGAGGACCGCGCUCCGGCUAGGAUGCGGGCGUAAUGGUCGUCAGCGACCCGUCUUGAAACACGGACCAAGGAGUCUAACAUCUAUGCGAGUGUUUGGGUGGCAAACCCACACGCGGAAUGAAAGUGAACGGAGGUGAGAGCCCGCACGGGCGCAUCAUCGACCGGUCCUGAUGUCUUCGGAUGGAUCUGAGUAAGAGCAUAGCUGUUGGGACCCGAAAGAUGGUGAACUAUGCCUGAAUAGGGUGAAGCCAGAGGAAACUCUGGUGGAGGCUCGCAGCGGUUCUGACGUGCAAAUCGAUCGUCAAAUUUGGGUAUAGGGGCGAAAGACUAAUCGAACCAUCUAG
rnacentral:rRNA from 1 species